AACAUCGCAUACAUGUUUUAAUGCUCCCUAUGUUGGCAGCAGCUGCCAAACAGACCCCGUAGCUAAGAAGAGAGAGAGAUAUAUACCCAAGCAACUCAUUCUGCACAGCAGCCAACAAGACGAUAUUCCUAUGCUGGAAUGUUCUCAUUCAAAGACACUUGGAUUGGACUUAAUCUUAAACCUCUGGAGUUCAAGACCUUUUAAAAAGGGCUAAAUAAACAAUCUCCACAUGUAAAAGGCCACUGACUCCUACUUCCUCUCUUCAGAGCAACUGUUGAACCCGGCUGACUGUAGGUAAGAUUUUUUUUUUUAUUCUGGAAUUAUUUUAUGGGUUUCUGAUAUGUUUAGGACUCAUGUUUUUUAAAUAACUUGUUCAUCAUGAAAAUGAAUGAGGGCUGUGAGCGAUUUUCAGGUAAAUAUGGUGUUCCAGAAUACAGCAGUAGCAUCUGUGCAUUUUUGUGGCUGUAAUUUUAAACUUUGCUGAAUGUGCUCUGUAAUGCUGACCUGCAGCACAGACUCGCCUGUGAUCGAGCCGCAUCAGAACACUAAUCAAGCCUGAUUGCCAGCGUUGUUCCAGAACCUUUCAGACAUCAUAAUUUUCUUGUUUAGACUGCUUACUUAUUUUUAACUUUCUAAAGGCAUUUUUUUUUAAAGGAAAACGAUGCAACUACCUGAGUAAAGGAAAUAUACUGGUGAUUUUUCUUUAAGGACAAUGAGAUAGCUCUGUCUUAUUAUAUUCUUUCAUUACUGUUUUGUUCAUUGCUAUUAUGGAAUUAGAAUGGUUUUGGGUUUGUCUGUUUGGUUUUUGUAUAUUCCUAGCACAAUCUGGUGACUCAGUUUUGAGAUUCCCUCACCUGGCUGAAUGUCUUAGGCUAGCAUGUUUCUCUAAUGUGACAAUAUAUAAUAUUUUGGAGAACUUUCUGUGCCUUCCCCCUCCCCCACCUUAUGAUUGGUCUUGACAUUUUGCGAAGUACUUUGAUCUGUGGACUUUAACUUCAAACACAACAUUUAAUUUGAUUUGGGGGAUUUACUAUGUUCAGUAAAAAGUCUUUUUUUUUUUUUUUUGGUUUAAGGUUUUUAUAUCAUUUCCUUCGAAUAAUCUAUCGGUAUUUUCUCACUGAUAUGUCUUAGGUUUUGUUAGUACAGAAACUCCCCAACUGAAAGGCAAAGACUAUUUUAUGGCAGGUUUCUCUGACCAUUAUAGACUUUAUGACAACUCUCUGCUCCCCUCCAAGCAGAUGUCUAAAAUCAGGCAGCAAAUGAUGGUGCCCAGGACCAGAUUCUAUCAACCCUCAUUUGAGUGCCUCCAAAUUACCAUGUGCCUCAGGGCUUCGCUGUUGCUUUUUAACAUGGACACUGAAGUCCUUGGAAUUUACAGAGUCUGGUUUCCAAAAAGUUUGCUGGUAUCACAGACCACAUGUCAAAGGAAAAUACACAUUUUAAACAUACAUCUUCCAAAAUAACUUUUUGAAAAAAAGUUAAGAAAAAUAAAGAAUAAAAUUAAAAGGAGAGAAAAGAAACUUUAAAUAAGGAAAAGGGGGAGUGGGGGGAGAAAGUCUCUGUAGCCAGAAGUCUGUUAUGCUAGUGAAGCUUCUGCUGAAUGAGGAAUAAGAAAUGAAAAAACAUGUACUUCUCCAGCGUAGGCAGAGGGUAGCACUUUCCAGCCAUUCAAUCAACUUUUAGAUGUUCUCUUUAUUUUAGAGAAAACUCGUGUGUAUAUGAUAUUUGUUUGUCACUCGCUUGUUCUCUGCUGUAAGCAAAGGUUAUUUUCAAAGUCCUCAGCAGAUUCUGAGUUUGAUGUUCCCCGGCAAGCUGUCCCUGAGAGCCUGGUGAAGGUUAAGAGGAGAAUGAGCCUAAUCCUGUCAGGAGACCGUUUUAAGUCCCAGCCAAGGACUGUGGCUCCUCAGAGCUGGCACAGUGUGUCCCCUGCGUCGCACACCUUGUUAAGGAAGGAGGAAGCCAGUGGCUGCAGGACACGUUUCCCAAGGGGUGGAGCUAGGGAGUAAGCUGAGGGAGAGGUCUCUCUGGAUUAGGAGCAGAUGCAAUGUGAUCUAAAAUUGGGACUAAUACAGUAGGAAAACCUAGAGCUGUUCAGUUUUUUUUUUGUUUGUUUGUUUUUUUAAUUUCCAAAACCUGGACAUUUAAUUGCUAACUUUCCUUUCAGAUCUUCAUUACACGAAGUUUAUUCAUCAUCCCAUUUCUGUGAUGUGUGUACAGUCAAAACUUCCAGUUAUUUUGAGCAUAUACUUCACUGCCUUUGGGGGAUCUAGAAUUCUCUCCCCCUUAGUUCUAGAAGGCCUUGAUUUUGGCAUUGCUGAGGACGCAUGUAUAGGAAUACAGCCAAGGGCAGCAAGAUGAAAUGGGUUAGGAACAUGAGAGAGGCCACUCCACUCUUAGGCAAGCCAUUUUUUCCUGUUCUGUUGGGGUUUCUUGUUUGUUUGUUUCCAUUAGCCCCUUAAUUUUACUCUGAAACUUUGGUUUGUUUGAAUAUGAAACUCAAGGAGAAACCUAGCCAAAACCACUGAGUUUCACACAGGUUCCACAUGAAAGAAGUAUUCUAUCCAGCCUUGCUCGAAACUUGGCCCAUGUGUUGCCAAAAGUUUCAUGAAUGUCAGUGAGCCUGAUGUGAAACCUGAUCCCCAACCAGGCGACUUCUGGCAACUUUGAGGCUGUACUAUGGAAGUAUAGAAUCUGUCAAACAAGGACGCCCCUUAUUUUCAUAUCUCCAACUGUAACUUCACGAGUACACACAUUUUUCCAAUAAACUCCCAUUUGUUCUAUGAUAUUUUAAAGCCAGAUUCAAUUCUAAUAUGAAUUUUUAUAGCUGUGGUAUUAAAAUAUUGGCAAAUAGAAGUCUGCAUUUUACAUUCCAACACAGUCCGAACCAAGUGGUGUGAACAUGUUGGUAUAAUUCAGCUGAAGGAAGUCAGUCCCAGGAGAGUCCUGGAAUGUCUUUCUUUGUUUAAAUAUACUUCUGUGCUAGUGUGAAACAAACAGUAACAUUUUGUCCAGGUCUAUCUGCUUGACAGUAUGUCUUUUGUUCACUAUCCAAAGGUGGUGUCAAAUACAUUGGUGGAAAAAUAACAAACUUCCAGCUUUUUUUUUUUUUUUUUUUUUUUUUUUUUGCCUGCUCAGCUUAUAGACUCCUAGGGAACAUUGUAAGCAUUGAAAAGUUUAGUUCCAUUACUUCUAAUGUAAUGUCUACAGAGGAUAAAGGAGUACCCAGCAGAGUCAAUUUGCUUCUGAAAACCUUGACCUAGAGCUGUUGUGGAUGAACAGUAAAAAGGGUUGGGCUGUGAAGGUGUGUGUGGUGUUUUGAGUGGUUGAAAAAGAAGAGGGGAUUUGUGAUCUUUGUUCAGCAAAUCUGUCACAUUUAAACCCAAAAUAACCAAGUCCAGGAUCUGAAAAUGAAAACAUUCUUUUCUUUUAUUGACCAUAUAAAUUCAUGUUGACUGGCCAUUGCAUUUGGGGUGGUAUUCUUUCUCUCAUUAAAGACCCAAAGGAUUACAAUUCUGAUCAUUAGAAUUCCAGAAAUGGUAAAUAUUCUCCAUUGAAAAUAGGACCAACUGGGAGACCUACAUAGUUGUAGGUGGGCUUCCAUGAAUCCAUCUCAGAAAUAUCGUCAUGAUUCUAUGGCCAUUAUAGAUGCUAAGCCACAUUAUUAAAUGUCAUUUUAUUAGCUGGAGUAUUUCUGGAUUCAUUUGAAGAAUUUUCAUAAAAAUGAAUUUGUGACCUUUAGUCAGAUUAAACUUAGUGAAUAUAUAGUUAUUCAUUAUAAAAUAAAUUGCCAUCAACUCUCAUUUUUAUAAUUUUAUAAUCUUGUUUUUAUGAAAUUUUUGUUAAAGUUUGCAUUUUAGCAAGUGACUAGUAAAAUGACUGAAACUGAUCCCAUACUAAGUAAAACAUUUGAAAAAAAUAACAAAUUUAGGGGUCUUAUAUGUACAAGCUGCAUUUUAACACCGACUUCACUAUUCAUAGUAUACAUUUGUCAGCAUAUAUAUCUGAUUUUUAUAUCCCCAAACUAUCCCAAGAGAGCAGAGGAAAGGAAGAUACUCAAUGGAAGUUACUAAAGAAAAUACGAGAAAACAAUUCAUGACCAUCCUACAUGAACGUUCUCACCAAACAUAUCAAAGUAUAAAGAAAUGAGUAUUUUGGAAACAACCAUCAUCUAUAAUAAAAUAGGAAAAAGGAAAGUGUGAUGGAAGAUAAUACAAGAAAAAGAAUGUAUAUAUGUAUAUGACUGGGUUACUAUGCUGUACAGCAGAAACUGAUGCAAACAUUGUAAAUCAACUAUACUUUAAUAAAAAAUUGUAAAGGAAAGGAUGAAGAUAUCAGAUUGAAAAUAAACUCUAAAUUUUUGCAUAUGCAGAUGUUUCUUUAAGUCAUAAAAUCAUUCUUCUUUCAAAAACGGCCUCACCAGCCAUUUAAGAAUGCAAAAACUCUUCUCUCGGAGUUCCCGUCGUGGCGCAGUGGUUAACGAAUCUGGAAUCUGACUAGGAACCAUGAGGUUGCGGGUUUGGUCCCUGCCCUUGCUCAGUGGGUUAACGAUCCAGCGUUGCCGUGAGCUGUGGUGUAGGGUGCAGACGCGGCUUGGAUCCCACGUUGCUGUGGCUCUGGCGUAGGCCGGUGGCUACGGGUCCGAUUGGACCCCUAGCCUGGAAACCUCCAUAUGCCGCGGGAGCGGCCCAAGAAAUAGCAAAAAGACAAAAAAAAAAAAAAAAAAAAAAAAAAAAAA
rnacentral:lncRNA from 1 species